GUGCUCACUUCAACAGCACAUAUACUUAAAUUGGAACAAUAUAGAGAAGAUUAGCAUGAUCCCUUUGCAAGGAUGACACAUAAAUUUGUGAAGCGUUCCAUAUUUUA